GACGAACGCUGGCGGCGUGCUUAACACAUGCAAGUCGAACGGAAAGGCCCUGCUUUUGUGGGGUGCUCGAGUGGCGAACGGGUGAGUAACACGUGAGUAACCUGCCCUUGACUUUGGGAUAACUUCAGGAAACUGGGGCUAAUACCGGAUAGGAGCUCCUGCUGCAUGGUGGGGGUUGGAAAGUUUCGGCGGUUGGGGAUGGACUCGCGGCUUAUCAGCUUGUUGGUGGGGUAGUGGCUUACCAAGGCUUUGACGGGUAGCCGGCCUGAGAGGGUGACCGGCCACAUUGGGACUGAGAUACGGCCCAGACUCCUACGGGAGGCAGCAGUGGGGAAUAUUGCACAAUGGGCGGAAGCCUGAUGCAGCAACGCCGCGUGCGGGAUGACGGCCUUCGGGUUGUAAACCGCUUUCGCCUGUGACGAAGCGUGAGUGACGGGAAUGGGUAAAGAAGCACCGGCUACUACGUG
rnacentral:rRNA from 1 species